CAGUCGCCACGGUAAUACAGAGGGUGCGAGCGUUAAUCGGAUUUACUGGGCGUAAAGCGUGCGUAGGCGGCUUUUUAAGUCGGAUGUGAAAUCCCUGAGCUUAACUUAGGAAUUGCAUUCGAUACUGGGAAGCUAGAGUAUGGGAGAGGUUGGUAGAAUUCCAGGUGUAGCGGUGAAAUGCGUAGAGAUCUGGAGGAAUACCGAUGGCGAAGGCAGCCAUCUGGCCUAAUACUGACGCUGAGGUACGAAAGCAUGGGGAGCAAACAGGAUUAGAUACCCCCGUAGUCCCUGUCUCUUAUAC
rnacentral:rRNA from 1 species